rnacentral:rRNA from 1 species
UACGUAGGGGGCAAGCGUUGUCCGGAUUUAUUGGGCGUAAAGAGCGUGUAGGCGGUUUUACAGGUCCGCUGUGAAAACUCGAGGCUCAACCUCGAGACGUCGGUUGAAACCGUUUGGCUAGAGUCCGGAAGAGGAGAGUGGAAUUCCCGGUGUAGCGGUGAAAUGCGCAGAUAUCGGGAAGAACACCCGUGGCGAAGGCGGCUCUCUGGGACGGUACUGACGCUGAGACGCGAAAGCGUGGGGAGCGAACAGG